UACGUAGGGCCCGAGCGUUGUCCGGAGUUACUGGGCGUAAAGCGCGCGCAGGCGGCCCCUUGGGCCCGGCGUGAAAGCCCCCGGCUCAACCGGGGAGGGUCGCCGGGGACCGGGGGGCUUGGGGGCGGCAGGGGCCGGUGGAAUGCCCGGUGUAGUGGUGAAAUGCGUAGAGAUCGGGCGGAACACCCGUGGCGAAGGCGGCCGGCUGGGCCGACCCCGACGCUGAGGCGCGAAGGCGUGGGGAGCGAACGGG
rnacentral:rRNA from 1 species